AUGAUUUCCCUUUCUGACCCAACAACCGCCCCUAAAAACCCACAGCGGGGAUUUUCCUGCCCGGGUACGAUGUCACCCAAACCCAGGAAGGAAGAGGAAGGAGAAGAAAGAAAAAAGGAGCUCAAGAUAAUGUUUUCCCUUUUCCCUGGAGCACUUUCCCUUUUUCCUGGGACACUUUCCCUUUUUUCCUGGGACAUUUUCUCUUUUUCCCUGGAGCACUCUCCCUUUUUCCUGGGAAAUUUCCCCUUUUCCCUGGGACACUUUCCCCUUUUUCCUGGAAUGCUUUUCCUGGGGCACUUUCCCUUUUUUCCUGGGACAUUUCUCUUUUUCCUGGGACAUUUCCCUUUUUCCUGGGACGUUUUUCCUGGGGCACUUUCCCGUUUUUCCUGGGGCACUUUCCCUUUUUUCCUGGGACAUUUCCCUUAUUCCUGGGAUGUUUUUCCUGGGACAUUUUUCCUUUUCCCUGGGAUGCUUUUCCUUUUUUCUGGGAAACUUUCCCCUUUUUACUGGAACGUUUUUCCUGGGGCACUUUCCCUUUUUUCCUGGGACGUUUUUCCUAGGACACUUUUCCUUUUCCCUGGGACACUUUCCCUUUUUCCUGGAAUGCUUUUCCUGGGACACUUUCCCUUUUUUCCUGGGACAUUUCCCUUUUUCCUGGGACAUUUUUCCUGGAGCACUUUCCCCUUUUUCCUGGGACACUUUUCCUGGGACACUUUCCUUUUUUCCUGGGACAUUUCCCUUUUUCCUGGGACCUUUUUCCUGGGACACUUUUCCUUUUUCCUGGGACACUUUUCCUUUUCCCUGAGACACUUUCCCUUUUCCCUGGAGCACUUUCCCUUUUCCCUGGGACAUCUCCCUUUUUCCUGGAACACUUUUCCUGGGGCACUUUCCCUUUUUUCCUGGGACAUUUCUCUUUUUCCUGGGACAUUUCCCUUUUCCCUGGAGCACUUUCCCCUUUUUCCUGGAACACUUUCCCUUUUUUCCUGGGACAUUUCCCUUUUUCCUGGAAUGCUUUUCCUGGGGCACUUUCCCUUUUUCCCUGGAGCACUCUACCUUUUUCCUGGGAAAUUUCCCUUUUUUCCUGGGACACUUUCCCUUUUUCCUGGGAAAUUUCCCUUUUUCCAGGGACACUUUUCCUGGGGCACUUUCCCUUUUUUCCUGACACACUGUUCCUUUUCCCUGGGACACCUUUCCUUUUUCCCUGGGACAUUUCCCUUUUUCCUGGGACACUUUCCCUUUUUUCCUGGGACACUUUCCCUUUUUUCCUGGGAAAUUUCCCUUUUUUCCUGGCACACUUUUCCUUUUCCCUUGGACACUUUUCCUUUUUCCCUGGAGUACUUUCCCUUUUUCCUGGGACACUUUCCCUUUUUUCCUGGGACACUUUUCCUGGGACACUUUCCCUUUUUUCCUGGGAAAUUUCCCUUUUUCCUGGGACACUUUUCUUGGGACACUUUCCCCUUUUUCCUGGGACACUUUUCCUUUUUCCUGGGAUGCUUUUCCUGGGGCACUUUCUCUUUUUCCUGGGACAAUUCCCUUUUUUCCUGGGAAAUUUCCCUUUUUUCCUGGGACAAUUUUCCUGGGACACUUUCCCUUUUUUCCUGGCACACUUUUCCCUGGGACACCUUUCCUUUUUCCCUGGAGCACUUCCCCUUUUUCCUGGGACACUUUCCCUUUUUUCCUGGGACAUUUCUCUUUUUUUCCUGGGAAAUUUCCCUUUUUUCCUGGGAAAUUUCCCUUUUUCUUGGGAAUUUUCCCUUUUUUCCUGGCACACUUUUCCUUUUCCCUUGGACACUUUUCCUUUUUCCCUGGAGCACUUUCCCCUUUUUCCUGGGAUACUUUUCCUGGGACGCUUUCCUUUUUUCCUGGAGCACCUUCCCUUUUCCCUGGGACACAUCCCCUUUCCCCCACAAGCCCAGCGUGCCCCACGGAGAACAUUCCCACCCCCAGGAAGCACCGGGGGGAUUUUUGGUCCAUUUGUGGGAUUUUUCAGGGGUCGCACCUCACUUUCGGGAAGGAUCCCACAGAGGAUCCGCCCCACAAAUUCCCCUCUGGGCAGCAGGGCAGCCCCAUGGUCUCCCCAAAGUGUUUGGGAUCUCCGAGGGGUGA
ensembl:lncRNA